rnacentral:rRNA from 1 species
ACUGGGACUGAGACACGGCCCAGACUCCUACGGGAGGCAGCAGUGGGGAAUUUUCCGCAAUGGGCGCAAGCCUGACGGAGCAAUACCGCGUGAGGGAGGAAGGCCUUUGGGUUGUAAACCUCUUUUCUUAAGGAAGAAGAUCUGACGGUACUUAAGGAAUCAGCAUCGGCUAACUCCGUGCCAGCCGCCGCGGUAAUACGGAGGAUGCAAGCGUUAUCCGGAAUUAUUGGGCGUAAAGCGUCCGCAGGCGACACUAUAAGUCUGCUGUCAAAGACCGCAGCUCAACUGCGGAAAGGCAGUGGAAACUGUAGAGCUAGAGUACGGUAGGGGUAGAGGGAAUUCCCAGUGUAGCGGUGAAAUGCGUAGAGAUAGGGAAGAACACCAGUGGCGAAAGCGCUCUACUGGGCCGUAACUGACGCUCAGGGACGAAAGCUAGGGGAGCGAAAGGGAUUAGAUACCCCUGUAGUCCUAGCUGUAAACGAUGGAUACUAGGCGUAGCUUGUAUCGACCCGAGCUGUGCCGAAGCUAACGCGUUAAGUAUCCCGCCUGGGGAGUACGCACGCAAGUGUGAAACUCAAAGGAAUUGACGGGGGCCCGCACAAGCGGUGGAGUAUGUGGUUUAAUUCGAUGCAACGCGCAGAACCUUACCAGGGCUU